CCUACGGGUGGCAGCAGUGAGGAAUAUUGGUCAAUGGGCUUACGCCUGAACCAGCCAAGUCGCGUGAGGGAAGACUGCCCUAUGGGUUGUAAACUUCUUUUGUCAGGGAGCAACGCCGGCUACGUGUAGCCGGACUGAGAGUACCUGAAGAAAAAGCACCGGUUAACUCCGUCCCAGCGUCCGCGGUAUUACGGAGGAUGCUAGCGUAAUCGGGAUUUAUUGGGUUUAAGGGGUGCGUAGGCGGAAUGCCAAGUCAGCGGGAAACUCGCGGGGUUCAACCUCGCUUCGCCGUUGAAACUGGCGUUCUUGAGUGGGCGAGAAGUGUGCGGAAUGCGUGGUGUAGCGGUGAAAUGCAUAGAUAUCACGCAGAACUCCGAUUGCGAAGGCAGCAUACCGGCGCCCAACUGACGCUGAAGCACGAAAGCGUGGGUAUCGAACAGGAUUAGAUACCCUGGUAGUC
rnacentral:rRNA from 1 species